rnacentral:rRNA from 1 species
GAUGAACGCUGGCGGCGUGCUUAACACAUGCAAGUCGAACGGAAAGGCCCAAGCUUGCUUGGGUACUCGAGUGGCGAACGGGUGAGUAACACGUGGGUGAUCUGCCCUGCACCUCGGGAUAAGCCUGGGAAACUGGGUCUAAUACCGGAUAGGACCACUUCUUGGAUGUUGUGGUGGAAAGUUUUUUCGGUGUGGGAUGAGCUCGCGGCCUAUCAGCUUGUUGGUGGGGUAAUGGCCUACCAAGGCGUCGACGGGUAGCCGGCCUGAGAGGGUGUACGGCCACAUUGGGACUGAGAUACGGCCCAGACUCCUACGGGAGGCAGCAGUGGGGAAUAUUGCACAAUGGGCGCAAGCCUGAUGCAGCGACGCCGCGGGGGGGAUGACGGCCUUCGGGUUGUAAACUCCUUUCGCUAGGGACGAAGCGUUUUGUGACGGUACCUGGAGAAGAAGCACCGGCUAACUACGUG